ensembl:lncRNA
GCUGCACAGGAAGGGAAUGCUCACAUAUGUUUUAUAUUAUGAGAAUUGCCCAAAGAAAGUACAGUGUAUACUUUUUGCUUGUAGUGUAAUUUGACACGUGAUACACCACAUCAAGUUUCUAGGGCAAAGAAUGCCAUCCUAGUAUGUAUCUGAUAUAAUUAAGGAUGUAUGACUUAAUUACCAGCACAUGGCAGCAGUCUGAAGUGAUACCACUGGAGUGAGAUACAACAUUGUGGCUUUGCUUUCCAUCUAGGGAAUUGCAGUAUGUGCUAAAAAUACUGUUGAGCACAUGGGAAUACAGAGUGUUAUCGCAUACGGAGGGGAAGAAGGAAUGUCAGAUCCACAAGAAGCAACCAUAGAAGAGGGACAACUUAGCACUGAAUGUUCUGAGUGCCAUGGAAGCCAUGAGAACGUCUGCUAAAUCCUUUACAAGACUGAAGGUGGCACACAGCAGAGGGAAGACACUUGAGAAGUGAGCCAGAUCUCCCUACUGACGUCAAGAGGAGCAGCUGAAAACAGGCCAAUAACAAUUUUUAGGCUUUAAAGCAGGCUCUGUGGCUGUUCAGGAAGGAGGAGAUUUCUUGUUACAAGC